GGAGGAGUGGCUGAGUGGUCGAAAGCGGCGGUCUUGAAAACCGUUGUACCGAAAGGUACCGUGGGUUCGAAUCCUACCUCCUCCG
rnacentral:tRNA from 1 species